GAUGAACGCUGGCGGCGUGCCUAAUACAUGCAAGUCGAGCGAACAGACGAGGAGCUUGCUCCUUCGACGUUAGCGGCGGACGGGUGAGUAACACGUAGGUAACCUACCUAUAAGACUGGGAUAACUUCGGGAAACCGGAGCUAAUACCGGAUAAUAUUUCGAACCGCAUGGUUCGAUAGUGAAAGAUGGCUUUGCUAUCACUUAUAGAUGGACCUGCGCCGUAUUAGCUAGUUGGUAAGGUAACGGCUUACCAAGGCAACGAUACGUAGCCGAACUGAGAGGGUGAUCGGCCACACUGGAACUGAGACACGGUCCAGACUCCUACGGGAGGCAGCAGUAGGGAAUCUUCCGCAAUGGGCGAAAGCCUGACGGAGCAACGCCGCGUGAGUGAUGAAGGUCUUCGGAUCGUAAAACUCUGUUAUUAGGGAAGAACAAACGUGUAAGUAACUGUGCACGUCUUGACGGUACCUAAUCAGAAAGCCACGGCUAACUACGUG
rnacentral:rRNA from 1 species